GAGUAACACGUAUCCAACCUGCCGAUAACUCCGGGAUAGCCUUUCGAAAGAAAGAUUAAUACCGGAUAGCAUACGAAUAUCGCAUGAUAUUUUUAUUAAAGAAUUUCGGUUAUCGAUGGGGAUGCGUUCCAUUAGUUUGUUGGCGGGGUAACGGCCCACCAAGACUACGAUGGAUAGGGGUUCUGAGAGGAAGGUCCCCCACAUUGGAACUGAGACACGGUCCAAACUCCUACGGGAGGCAGCAGUGAGGAAUAUUGGUCAAUGGGCGAGAGCCUGAACCAGCCAAGUAGCGUGAAGGAUGAAGGCUCUAUGGGUCGUAAACUUCUUUUAUAUGGGAAUAAAGUAUUCCACGUGUGGAAUUUUGUAUGUACCAUAUGAAUAAGGAUCGGCUAACUCCGUGCCAGCAGCCGCGGUAAUACGGAGGAUCCGAGCGUUAUCCGGAUUUAUUGGGUUUAAAGGGAGCGUAGGUGGAUUGUUAAGUCAGUUGUGAAAGUUUGCGGCUCAACCGUAAAAUUGCAGUUGAAACUGGGAGUCUUGAGUACAGUAGAGGUGGGCGGAAUUCGUGGUGUAGCGGUGAAAUGCUUAGAUAUCACGAAGAACUCCGAUUGCGAAGGCAGCUCACUAGACUGUUACUGACACUGAUGCUCGAAAGUGUGGGUAUCAAACAGGAUUAGAUACCCUGGUAGUCCACACAGUAAACGAUGAAUACUCGCUGUUUGCGAUAUACAGUAAGCGGCCAAG
rnacentral:rRNA from 1 species